rnacentral:rRNA from 1 species
CCAAUAGCGUAUAUUAAAGUUGUUGCAGUUAAAAAGCUCGUAGUUGAAUUUCGGGAUCAGUACGUUGGUCAUGCCUUGGUAUGUACUGGUGUAACUGAUUCCUCCCUUCUGACGAACCGUCAUGCCAUUCACUUGGUGUGGCGGGAAAUCAGGACUGUUACUUUGAAAAAAUUAGAGUGUUUAAAGCAGGCUCGCGCUUGAAUACAUUAGCAUGGAAUAAUGAAAUAGGACGUUAAUCCUAUUUUGUUGGUUUCUAGGAUCGACGUAAUGAUUAAGAGGGAUAGUUGGGGGCAUUAGUAUUCAAUUGUCAGAGGUGAAAUUCUUGGAUUUAUUGAAGACUAACUACUGCGAAAGCAUUUGCCAAGGAUGUUUUCAUUAAUCAAGAACGAAAGUUAGGGGAUCGAAGACGAUCAGAUACCGUCGUAGUCUUAACCAUAAACUAUGCCGACUAGGGAUCGGAUGAUGUUAAUUUUUUAAUGACUCAUUCGGCGCCUUACG